CAUAGGCAGACACCCAGCAUAAAAAUUCACAAAGUUAUAAAUAACCAGAAUAGGAAUUUAUAAUUAAAAGCAUUGAACAGAUUUGCAGUACUGGGUAGCAUAGUGUGGAUAACAAUGAUUUUUACUACUGUAGCCCCAAAAAUGCUGCUCAGGAACCACAGCUCCACUGUGUAAAAUGCAUGUAAACAUGGAACAGGGAUAUAUCUGCAAUAUUGUGUUUCCAAAGAGUUUAUAACCCAAAUUUUAGGCAAAAAACCACAAACAGAUCUAGAGACAUGGAGAGUGCAGGAAAACAAUAAGAAAAUCCUAUUCAGUGUGACUGGCAAAUCAUCCCAAGUUGCCAUACAUAUUGCCCACUUAUCAUAGGUAUUUGGGAAAAUAUGAACCUUUAAAGAAACUGAGGCUUGAUCAGAGGAUAAUGAGGUAGUUCUGCAAAUAUGGGGUUGUGGGGUCAGGACAGGAAACAGCAUGGAGAAAUUUAAGUGAAAGUAAUCAGUCACGCUGUAUACCUGUGAGACAGUGACAUCCAGCAGUAAGGAUGGACCGGUAGGUAGAGGGACAGGGGACUGGAAAACAAGCUAGACAAGGAUGGCACCCAAGGAAUCGUCCUAAUUAGGAAAUCCUAAUUACUGGGAUUUCCACAAGCGAGCAUCCCUGUGACUAGAGGGGACUGACUGUACAACUUAUGGACAGUUUCUUUCACCUUCUUGUGAGGGAAUGGUCUGCUUCACUCUUGUCUGCAUUGGAAGGAUCCUGAAGAUCCUAUUUCUUUGUCCCCUAAGGGGUCUUGGUUGGAGGUAAAAUAAAGCCCAUCUAUAGCUCUAACUAAAGCGGGAGUUUCUGGGAUAGAAGUGACCUUAUCAGCUUGACUCAGAAGCCUGAAACUCUCCACCAUCCUAAGCGACGCUGUUCAGAGGAGCCGUCGCAGAGCCCGGGGGGCUCCGGGCGCUCAGCCCGGCCGUUCGUGGGCAGGGCCGGAGUCGAGGCGCCGGAUGUGCGGAGCGGCAGAGCCGUGUCGGGUCACGCUGCGAGCGGCCGCGGCCUCCGGGCCAAGGGGAGCAGCCCGCACACCGACAGGCAGCAAAGGGGAAGCCGAAGGGAGCGCGGUGAGGAUCCUGCGGGACGGGACCGAGGGGAGCGAGGUGAGGAUCCUGCGGGACGGGAUCGAGGGGAGCGAGGUUAUCCUGUAAGUGUUCACCAUGGAGAUUCCUGAUGCCCUCUCCCUCUGCCAAGAACAAACCUCUGAGACAAUGACCACACCAGCAAACCACCAGAUCAUGCCCAGGUCCCCAGGUACUCGAAAGGACUUCACCUAAAGACGGGCCCAUCAAAAUUACUGUGACUUUAAGAGAAGAACACUGUCUCAAGCAUGACUAGACUGGAAGAAGAUCUCAGAGAAUCAACAUCUGACCAAGGAUCACAGGUCACCAUCUUAGGAUGUGAAUUUCUUCUUAACGAAGAAAAGCAUGAUGCAGGGGAACCAUUGGAAGUUUACCUUCAGGAAACCAGAGAACCUAAAAAUGUUCAUAGAAUUUUGAAAGUAAUUCUUUUCAGGAAAGUAGGUAGGCAUAUUAAGAUGUGGCUUGCCAAACAUUUUUGCAAGCUAUUCAGCCCUCAGUCAGUGAAAGAGUCCUUGCUUCUGACAUAGGGUGAACUCACCGUGGGGCUGAAGGUCACAACAAGGCAGCACUAAUAGCUCUUUUGGAGGCUUUAUUAAUGGCAUGGCUUGCACAACAAAAAAUUUGUGGAAGAUACCAUGUACUUCCUCAUUUGUGAGAGCUGCAGUACUUUUCUCACACCAUUUUGCUGUGUACUGCAUUGUCUUUCUGAUAGUGUCAUCAGAUAAGAAAAGACAUUUGUAAAACAGCUGCACCAGCAAGCAUCACCCACACCGUGGUAGGAAUCUUGCAUCUACAUUCUGCAGCUAAUAGGUAUUUGGCUCUAAAGGCUUUUUAGUGUAGUUCCACUAUAGGAAGAGGUGAAAUACAGAAUAAAGGCCUUAAAACUUAAAUAACAAAGACUUCAGAAUUUACUUGGAGUAUAAACUGCAGCAGCAACAGAGGAACAGUUCAGAGCACAAAGGAGAAAUGAAGCAGUCUUAUGAGAGAAACUGAAGAAGGCAGAUGGCAAUUAGGUGUCAGUAAGUUCUCAUUAAAAGUGGAUGGUUUCCAGACUCAGUUACAAGAAAACUCUUUGAAAACAUCUUUUGGAGCAGUAGAAAGAAAAAAGAAACAUUAAACCCCUUACAAGGCAGUUGUGUAUUACAGAAUAUUUUGUUUUCACUUCUACUUGGGAAAAGAGCAAAAAAGUUCUAUGUGGAAUCUGUAGUUCUGUCAAAUAACUCAGAUUUCUGCUGCUACAGGCUUGUGAAACAGAUAUGUUCAAACCAGUAGAAAAAAGGCAAUAAAGUGGAAAUAUAAAA